CUACGGGGGGCUCCAGUGAGGAAUAUUGCACAAUGGAGGAAACUCUGAUGCAGCAACGCCGCGUGGAGGAUGACGCAUUUCGGUGUGUAAACUCCUUUUACGAGUCAAGAAAAUGACGGUAGCUCAUGAAUAAGCACCGGCUAACUCCGUGCCAGCAGCCGCGGUAAUACGGAGGGUGCAAGCGUUACUCGGAAUCACUGGGCGUAAAGGACGCGUAGGCGGGAUAUCAAGUCAGGUGUGAAAUCCUACAGCUUAACUGUAGAACUGCACUUGAAACUGGUAACCUAGAGUAUGGGAGGGGGAGAUGGAAUUAGUGGUGUAGGGGUAAAAUCCGUAGAUAUCACUAGGAAUACCUAAGGCGAAGGCGAUCUCCUGGAACAUAACUGACGCUAAGGCGUGAAAGCGUGGGGAGCAAACAGGAUUAGAUACCCCUGUAGUC
rnacentral:rRNA from 1 species